rnacentral:rRNA from 1 species
GACGAACGCUGGCGGCGUGCUUAACACAUGCAAGUCGAACGGGAAGGCCCUGCAUUUGUGGGGUGCUCGCGUGGCGAACGGGUGAGUAACACGUGAGUAACCUGCCCUUGACUUUGGGAUAACGUCAGGAAACUGGGGCUAAUACCGGAUAGGAGCUCCUGCUGCAUGGUGGGGGUUGGACAGUUUCGGCGGUUGGGGAUGGACUCGCGGCUUAGCAGCUUGUUGGUGGGGUAGUGGCUUACCAAGGCUUUGACGGGUAGCCGGCCUGAGAGGGUGACCGGCCACAUUGGGACUGAGAUAGGGCCCAGAGUCCUACGGGAGGCAGCAGUGGGAGAUAUUGCGCAAUGGGCGGAAGCAUGGUGGAGCAACGCCGCGUGCGAGAUGACGGCCUUCGGGUUGGAAACCGCUUUCGCCUGUGACGAAGCGUGAGUGACGGUAAUGGAUAAAGAAGCACCGGCUAACUACGUG